rnacentral:rRNA from 1 species
GACGAACGCUGGCGGCGUGCUUAACACAUGCAAGUCGAACGGAAAGGCCCUGCUUUUGUGGGGUGCUCGAGUGGCGAACGGGUGAGUAACACGUGAGUAACCUGCCCGUUACUGUGGGAUAACUUCAGGAAACUGGGGCUAAUACCGGAUAGGAGCUCCUGUUGCAUGGUGGGGGUUGGAAAGUUUCGGUGGUUGGGGUAGGACUCGCGGCUGAUCAGCUUGUUGGUGGGGUAGUGGCAUACCAAGGCUUUGACGGGUAGCCGGCCUGAGAGGGUGACCGGCCACAUUGGGACUGAGAUACGGGCCGGACUCCUACGGGGGGCAUCAGUGGGGAUUAUUGCACGAUGGGCGGAGGCAGGAUGCAGCAUCGCCGCGUGGGGGAGGACGGCCGUCGGGUUGUAACCCGCUUGCGCCUGUGACGAAGCGUGAGUGACGGUAAUGGGUAAAGAAGCACCGGCUAACUACGUG